rnacentral:lncRNA from 13 species
AUGAAGAACAGCUCAGAGGUGAGCUCCUGGACUCUCUCGGAGGCAGUCACGUCAUCGUUACAGCGGGACGCCUGCUUCUGCACCUCCACUACAGAAGAGGACCACAGCCUACACACCAACGUCACAAAGAGGCAGAUAAUGUAUUGUAAAGACAAGACGCGCGGGCACACACACACACGAGUCAACUUGAACUACUUUUUUUCUUACAGAGAGGGCAGCACAACACCAUCAAAGCCAAUCAAUCUCUCAGAGAGAACACCAGGAGAAACAAAGCCUCAUCUGAGAUUCAGGGUGUUUUGGAAUCUAAGGGAAUCUUUGUCUUUCAACACACUACUAUUCCACCACAGACCCAAUCUUCUCUGGUCUUUUAACACAUUACUAUUCCACCACAGACCCAAUCUUCUCUGGUCUUUUAACACACUACUAUUCCACCACAGACCCAAUCUUCUCUGGUCUUUUAACACACUACUAUUCCACCACAGACCCAAUCUUCUCUGGUCUUUUAACACACUACUAUUCCACCACAGACCCAAUCUUCUCUGGUCUUUUAACACACUACUAUUCCACCACAGACCCAAUCUUCUCUGGUCUUUCAACACACUACUAUUCCACCACAGACCCAAUCUUCUCUGGUCUUUUAACACACUACUAUUCCACCACAGACCCAAUCUUCUCUGGUCUUUUAACACACUACUAUUCCACCACAGACCCAAUCUUCUCUGGUCUUUUAACACACUACUAUUCCACCACAGACCCAAUCUUCUCUGGUCUUUCAACACAUUACUAUUCCACCACAGACCCAAUCUUCUCUGGUCUUUUAACACACUACUAUUCCACCACAGACCCAAUCUUCUCUGGUCUUUCAACACACUACUAUUCCACCACAGACCCAAUCUUCUCUGGUCUUUCAACACACUACUAUUCCACCACAGACCCAAUCUUCUCUGUGUGCUACAAAACAGCAGAGACACUGCCUCCUUGCCCUCGUUCUACAACAAAGCCAUUGUUCUCUAUGGGGUAAACACACACACAGCCCAGUGUCCUCUCCUCUCGCCAUCCACCCAGAGAGUCUGCCAGCCUGUGGACGAUGACAUCAGCGUUGCAACAAGGUGA